UGUGAAGACAACUUUUCUUCACGGAGAUCUUGAAGAAGAAAUCUACAUGGAACAGCCAGAAGGAUUCAAAGUCAAAGGAAAAGAAGAUUUGGUAUGUCGGUUGAAGAAGAGGUUAUAUGGACUCAAGCAGGCGCCUCGACAAUGGUACAAGAAGUUUGAUUCCUUCAUGAUUGAACACAGAUAUCGAAGGACUACUUCAGACCAUUGUGUAUUUGUGAAAAGAUUUGAUGAUGGUGAAUUCAUCAUACUUCUUCUCUAUGUCGAUGACAUGUUGAUCGUAGGACAAAACAGUGACAAGAUUAGCAAGCUGAAGAAAGAGUUGAGCAAGUCUUUUGCUAUGAAAGACUUAGGACCCGCAAAACGAAUCCUCGGUAUGAGUAUAUCCCGUGAUAGAAAAAAUCGGAAGUUGAGGUUAUCACAAGAAAGUUAUAUCGAG
rnacentral:lncRNA from 1 species